rnacentral:rRNA from 1 species
UACGGAGGAGGCAAGCGUUAUCCGGAAUUAUUGGGCGUAAAGCGUCCGUAGGUGGGUGAGGAAGUCUGCUGUUAAAGAGUGAGGCCUAACCUCAUAAGGGCAGUGGAAACUCUUCGUCUAGAGUGCGACAGGGGCAAGGGGAAUUCCUAGUGUAGCGGUGAAAUGCGUAGAGAUUAGGAAGAACACCGGUGGCGAAAGCGCCUUGCUGGGUCUGCACUGACACUGAGGGACGAAAGCUAGGGGAGCGAAAGGG